CCGAGUCCCGAGCGGCCGGCGGCCGGGGCUCGCCCCCGCCCCUCCCUCCUCUCCGGCGGCGGCGGCGGCGGCGGGAGGAGUGAGCUGCGGAGCUUGGAAUAUGGUCGGGGAAAUGGAAACGAAGGAGAAGCCGAAGCCCACCCCAGAUUACCUGAUGCAGCUGAUGAACGAUAAGAAGCUCAUGAGCAGCCUGCCCAACUUCUGCGGGAUCUUCAACCACCUCGAGCGGCUGCUGGACGAAGAAAUUAGCAGAGUACGGAAAGACAUGUACAAUGACACAUUAAAUGGCAGUACAGAGAAAAGGAGUGCAGAGUUGCCUGAUGCUGUGGGACCUAUUGUUCAGUUACAAGAGAAACUUUAUGUGCCUGUAAAAGAAUAUCCAGAUUUUAAUUUUGUUGGGAGAAUCCUUGGACCUAGAGGACUUACAGCUAAACAACUUGAAGCAGAAACAGGAUGUAAAAUAAUGGUCCGAGGCAAAGGUUCAAUGAGGGAUAAAAAGAAGGAGGAGCAAAACAGAGGCAAGCCAAAUUGGGAGCAUCUAAAUGAAGAUUUACACGUACUCAUCACUGUGGAAGAUGCUCAGAACAGAGCAGAAAUCAAACUGAAGAGAGCAGUCGAAGAAGUGAAGAAAUUAUUGGUACCUGCAGCAGAAGGAGAAGACAGCCUGAAGAAGAUGCAGCUGAUGGAGCUUGCAAUUCUGAAUGGCACCUACAGAGAUGCCAACAUUAAAUCACCAGCCCUUGCCUUUUCUCUUGCAGCAACAGCCCAGGCUGCUCCAAGGAUCAUUACUGGGCCUGCGCCUGUUCUCCCACCAGCUGCUCUGCGUACUCCUACGCCAGCUGGCCCUACCAUAAUGCCUUUGAUCAGACAAAUACAGACCGCUGUCAUGCCAAACGGAACUCCUCACCCAACUGCUGCAAUAGUUCCUCCAGGCCCCGAAGCUGGUUUAAUCUACACACCUUAUGAAUACCCCUACACAUUGGCACCAGCUACGUCAAUCCUUGAGUAUCCUAUUGAACCUAGUGGUGUAUUAGAGUGGAUUGAAAUGCCAGUCAUGCCUGAUAUUUCAGCCCAUUGACUUGCUGGAUGAAGGACUAGAAUACAGCAGCUGUUAUAACACGACCAGUCAAUGUGGAACAAACUUUCUGUGCAACCCCUUUGUUUUGCCAGACAGAAUUUGAAUACUUUUUUUCCCCUGAAUUGUAUAUGACCUUGGUGCUGCAUGCAUGCUGUUGACUUUUAAGACUUUUAUCUUUUAAGGGUUUUUUCCCGGCAUUAAUACUGGUUUAUAAAAAUUUAAAAGUCUUUAAUGAACUGGAACACUAAGAUUUAAACUCACAAGUUCAUUGUUCAGUUAAAGUGACAAUGCUCUGUAUGUUAUCUGUGUGUGUGCAUGCACUCAGGUGCCUUUUGUUUUAUCAACAAAUACAUUUUAUUGUACAUGUUUUCCGUUUAUCUCUAAAUCAUUGUGUAUAAGGUAAUUACAGGUCAGAAUUAUACCACAGGUCUGUUUAUGAGAGGCUUGUUUCUGUUGCACAUUUUCUUGAAGCAUUUUUAAAAUAACAUGUAACCUAUAACCUUGUUUAAGUUUUCCUUUCUAUUAAUACUCUGUCCUAUGGUCCUGUGCAUGCUCCUUCCCCCAGAACUCCUCUCUGCUGCACCCACAGCAUCUGUUCCCGAGGAGUUUUGAGUCUUGACUUCUUGCAGGGCUGGAACUCUUAGCCACCAGCUGCUGUUUCAGCACUUUCAGCGCAAGAUCUCCCUGAUUUUGCCACAUGGAAUUAUACUUGGAUAUGAUUAGCUUAUCUAAAAUGAAUAAGGGGUGAUGGACCAGUUUACUGCUUAGAAACAGCAAGAGGCACUGCAGUAAAAUCCGUUUCUCAUUGUAAAGCAACAUGUUUUUUGUUUUGUUGGGAAGUUUUUAUUAUAAAAACUCAAUUAUUAGACUGACAAAGAGCAAAAUAUACUGAUCCCUAAUUGGCAUUCAUAAGGUGAAUAGUAAUGAGUACUAAAUGGAAAAAAUUUCAUAAUCUAAUUUCUUGCUUUAGCACCUAAGCAAUAAAAUAUGAUAUUGACCACUUAGAAAACUGAGAAAAUUAUUUUAAAUUGCAAAGUUGUAAUAAAUUUGCACACAGAUAACAUGCAUGCUAUAUAUCAAGUCUCACAUGAAAUUAUUUUAAUAUAAGCAGUGCCCUUCAAAACAGAUGCAGACAUGUGUGUUGGUAGUAGUGAGGAGAUUGGUAUUAGCAUCAAAUCUUCAUUGAUGACUAAUUUUUAAUUCCCUUCCUUUUAUCUUUAGGUAUGGCUUUCCCAACGAAAGGCUAAGAAUUCAAGAACGGUCUUAACUGAACCCUCAUCAGAUCUGAAUUUAACAAAUGCUUAGUCUCAGCAGCCUCCGGGGGAAAAAAAGCUUAGCCUAGCAGUCAGUGACUUACUUGCACUUUUUGCACAUAGUUAUAAAGUUAUGUUAUUAAUUUGGUUUAGUCUGUAAUAUUACAAAGUAAUGGUAAUUUAUAAAGGAGUGUAUAGUAGUAUACUGACUGCUAAGUGUACUAUACUGUUUGCUUUACUAAUCACCUAAUUCAUUGCAGUUCAUACUUAUUGACUCAAAGUUUAAAACCACAAUCUGUAGGCUUUAAGAAUUGCUUUUAAACCUUUUUAAGUGAUAAACUCUGAAAGUGGUCUUAAGGUUAGCAAAUAAUUGUCAGUAUUAAACAUGGCAUUAUUUAAGUAGUCCUGCAAGAAAAGGCACUUCAGUGAAUAUGUGACUAGUAAAGCUUAAAUAUGUUUGGAUCUAAUAGAGUUCAUGAAAUACUGUAACUUGGGGCUUGUAAAUGAAUGGCUGAAAUAGGUUAAGGCCAAGCCGUUUGAAAUGAAUGCAAUAUUAAUAGACACAUAUAUACGUGACAUGAUGGUUAAUUUUAAAACUACUGUGCCUUAACAUGUUUCUUAAACUUUUGUAGUAAAUGAACAGUUGAAAUCCAUCUUGAUAAACCUGCUGUUAAUGUUUUUUUUUCCCCUUGUGAAUGUUUUCUAACUUUGUCUUGGUAAUUACAAUUUAACUAGGUGCGGUGGCUACUAAAGUUCGAAGGCACGAUAUGCGUGUCCAUCCUUACCAAAGGAUUGUGACCGCAGACCGAGCCGCCACCGGCAACUAACCUAUGACCUUCUGACCUCUGAACUCUUCACCCAAUGAUGACCUGACCAUGCCUGCCUGCUGAUCAGUUAACUGGUAAUCGCCUUUGCUUGCCUGUCGUCAGCGCAGCGAGCUGAGGCACUUGUCCGUUCGUCUUACCAUCUAACCAAACAAAAGACAAAGAAAUUGUUGUCCUCCAACUCAGCUUUUUUCCUCCCCCCUGUUUGGGUGAAAGUGGUUCUAGAACCUGCACUGAAUAGUAGUAAAGCAAUAAGGCCCAAUUCAUCCCACAGCACUGAUCAUCUUUUAAUGUCCCACCCUAAGCGAACGGUAAGAAGGCCUCUCUUAAGAAGGAGAGACAGAUGGCCCUUAACUACUCAAUGACAGAGGCAGUUACUGUGAGAGACUUGUAGGAAUCCUCUUCUCAUAGCAAAGUCAAAGCUCUCUCUGAAUGUACUGUGUGAUGAUGCAUCAUGCAUGAACCUUCGGUCAGGGAUGUCAUAGGUGAAGUGAUUUCAAAAAGUAUUCAAAAUUUGAUAUGCUGUUUAGUCACUACAGUGCCCUCAAAGGGCAGAAGUUGCAGCCUUUUUUUAUAUUGCCUGCCAAAAUUUGAAGUAUUAGAAGCAAGUGUGCCAUGAGAGAAAAACUUAACAAGGACUUUUGAAAAGUAAUGCAAAGAACAAAAAACUGCAACACUAUUUUUAAAAAGAUAACUAUCUGAGUUAAAAUUACUGAACCUUUAUUUUCCGCCUUCUUAAAAAAAUAUAUAUGAGAACAAGGUACAUGCAUUAUGUGUCACAUUACUGGGCAAACUGUUCAAGUAUUUUUUUUAAACCUCCCUGUAUAGAAAAAUCAUUAAGGAUGUAAAAGCCAUGCUUGCCUAUUUGCUGUAUACAUGUAAUGAAAUUGUAGAUAAAGUGUAGUGCAUUGAAACAAAUGAACAAAAGUAGAUACUUUUACUAUACAAGGGUGCUGGUGCAGAAAAAAAUAUAUAUAUUUUUGGAAAUGUAGCAUUUUAUACUUUCAAGUGUUAUUAAAAAAAAAAGAAAAAGAACAAAGAAACCCUUUAUUUCAUGAAAUGAUUUUUUCUGGUGGUUGUCAAGAAACAAAAGACCAAAAGAGCCUUUUUGUCUUUCUUUUUUAUUUUUUAAGUAUUGGAAUAAGUCUAAAGAAAAGAAAGUGCCUUAUUUUCCUUCAUGGUCAUUUAGUCGAGUGUCUGGUAAGAUCAGCUCCUCCCUCAGAGUACAAGUCAGUGCAUGUCACUCAGUUGCCCAGUAUGUGCAAGAAGAGACGAGGGAGACAGAUGAGUUGAUGAUUUGAAUUAUAUAAUUUUUUGCCACGUUACCUUGAUGCAAAUUUGCCAAAUCUGAUACUGUGAAAAAAUUUGAUAACUUUUCUAAUGUCUUGAAUAGUAAGUUUUAAAACAUCAUUCUUUUAAAAUUCAUAAUUGAGUACUUUUGGUUAUUGCAGUCUUCAGUGUUAGCCCCCAGAGAAUUCUGAGAUUAAAAUUAUGUGUGAUCUGAAUAUCAGUUUAUAGAUAAAGUUAGAGCUUUAUUUUAUUUGGAGAUGGGGGAUGCAUUAGAUUUUUUUUAAUUGGAGUUAAUAGGAUACCUAGCAAACUUGUUCACAAAAGUGAAUCUUUGUGAUUUUCAUUCUGGAAAACACUUUUUAAAUGACCCAAAUUUAAUCAGACUUGUUGGUAUCAUACCAGAGAUGUAGUAUAUCUCUCCUGGUUUCAGUAACCUUCCCUCCCCCUGAAUACAAACCCUGCCUUUACACUGUAAAAGAAUGUGAAAAACUAGCAUCAUUGUGCAUGUAAAAACUCAACUACGUUUCAGCUUAAGCUUCUAAUUCCUCUUGAAGUUCAAACAGUUUUGUAGUUGAAGCAAUUUGUGCACAAAGCCUACAUCUAAACACUUGAGUAAAUAAUGAUUUACUGCUCAGUACCAGACUUGGCAAAUCUCAAGUGACAGUGGAUCCCCCUCUUAUCAACUCGUCCCCUCUUCCACACCUUCCCAGCAUCACAGUCAGAGGCCAGCAGGGAGCUCAGCCAGCACCUUCUUGGUCACCUCUCCACCAUCUUGUCUCACUUGGAAACGUUUUCAGUUUAUUUACUAUGCAAUAGACAUUCAUUGUUUUAUAUUCAGCUAGCUUUGGUUUAACGUGCCACUGCUUUGUCUUUCUGUUACACAUACAGUUGUUUUGAUUUAUUUACAAUAUAUGCUGUGCCAUUUUGAUUUUUAUAUUGUUUGGUUGGUUGAAUAAAUUUGCGACACUCAAACACUUGAGGUGAUAGUUGUUAAAAACAAUACCAGUAUUUGAUCCAGUUUCAUCUCAACUAUGUUAUACCUGGACAUUUUAGAUGUUUAUCAAAGGUCUUUUAUGGGGAAGAAAGUAAAUGUAUAAAAUAAUAAAUGUAUGACAUUUACAAGUAAUGUUGGCUCUGAACAAACUUUUGAAAACUUAGUUGACAAAAUUUUGGAUCAACUGAAAAAAAAAAGCAUGACUUUUGAAAUCUCUGAAUGCCUUGGUUCUCAGUAUUAUCAUUCUUUAUUGAAUUUAUUUCUUAUUAAAAUACGUAGUUUUUAAGAUUUUUUUUCUGACAGUAUUAUGUAAUUUUUUAGCGUGGGUAGGUGGGAGUGUCGCUUGUAUGUUACCGUACAGCUGACAUGUAUUUUUGUCUAUUCUUUAUUAUCUUAGUAGUUUCAUGCUGUGUAUGUACCAUAACCAACCUAUUGCCUAUGAGAAACAUGUAAGAUAAUGUAUUUACAGCCAUUGUUACAAGUUUAUAAUGUAUUUUUCUAUCUUGUUUUAUAUGUAUGUUAUAUAACAUUCAAAAAGAAUUUUUUUCUUGAUUGAGAAAAGGAUACAAAAUGCAAAAUCCACAAUUUUGAUAACUGAAAAUUGCCAAUUGUUUUGCAGUACUUUAUUAUAUUGGGUGUCUUGUCUUUUUUGGGCUUUAGUUAGCUGAUGAAUGAAUACAUUAGACACUUUUGGGUUUUAGUUGGGAUUUUACAUAGCUUGCAUUUAAUUCUUUGGUUCUUUGCUGUUUCUAUUAACCCAUAGCAUUAUUUUAAUAAAUGUUAUAAUACCAACCUACUAACUCUGGACUAUGUCUGUUUAUUAACCUUUACGUGUUUAAUUAAAAUAAAUAAAGACAAAA